rnacentral:rRNA from 1 species
UACGGAGGGGGCUAGCGUUGUUCGGAAUUACUGGGCGUAAAGCGCACGUAGGCGGCUUUGUAAGUUAGAGGUGAAAGCCCGGGGCUCAACCCCGGAACUGCCUUUAAGACUGCAUCGCUUGAAUCCAGGAGAGGUGAGUGGAAUUCCGAGUGUAGAGGUGAAAUGCGUGGAUAUCGGGAGGAACACCAGUGGCGAAGGCGGCCAUCUGGGACAACACUGACGCUGAAGCACGAAAGCGUGGGGAGCAAACAGG